GAUGAAGAACGUAUUGAAAUGCGAUAAGUAAUGUGAAUUGCAGAAUUCAGUGAAUCAUCGAAUCUUUGAACGCACAUUGCGCCCAUUAGUAUUCUAGUGGGCAUGCCUGUUCGAGCGUCAUUAAGUCCACUUAAGCCCUGCUUAGUGUUGGGAGACUGCUCCAGCGGUGCUACCCUGUAGCUACCCUGCAGCUCCUCAAAGACAGCGGCGGAGUUGUGGUAUCCUCUGAGCUUAGUAACUUGUUCUAGCUUUCGAGUACACCACUUCCCCUGCCGUAAAACCCUUAAUUUUUAAUGGUUGACCUCGGAUCAGGUAGGAAUACCCGCUGAACUUAAGCAUAUCAAUAAGCGGAGGA
rnacentral:misc_RNA from 1 species